AUUGAACGCUGGCGGCAGGCCUAACACAUGCAAGUCGAGCGGAUGAAGGGAGCUUGCUCCUGGAUUCAGCGGCGGACGGGUGAGUAAUGCCUAGGAAUCUGCCUGGUAGUGGGGGAUAACGUCCGGAAACGGGCGCUAAUACCGCAUACGUCCUGAGGGAGAAAGUGGGGGAUCUUCGGACCUCACGCUAUCAGAUGAGCCUAGGUCAGAUUAGCUAGUUGGUGGGGUAAAGGCCUACCAAGGCGACGAUCCGUAACUGGUCUGAGAGGAUGAUCAGUCACACUGGAGCUGAGACACGGUCCAGACUCCUACGGGAGGCAGCAGUGGGGAAUAUUGGACAAUGGGCGAAAGCCUGAUCCAGCCAUGCCGCGUGUGUGAAGAAGGUCUUCGGAUUGUAAAGCACUUUAAGUUGGGAGGAAGGGCAGUAAGUUAAUACCUUGCUGUUUUGACGUUACCAACAGAAUAAGCACCGGCUAACUUCGUG
rnacentral:rRNA from 1 species